AUGGGGCCCAGUGUUCUCAGACUUCUGCAACGGAACAAGUUCUCUGUCGGUUUGGUCAUUUCACUGACCAUCUUGGCCUGUUUGUGGACUCUCAGAAAGCUUCUGGGAAGUCUGAAGUCUUCAUUUCUUCCCAGGAGUACUUACAGACCAACACUGAGAGAAAAAGAAAAGGAUUCAUUAGACAUUGUUUUCCAGCCUUUCCAACGAGGAAGUAAAGAGACUAGUCCACCCUCUGUUGAUUGCUAUGAAUGGCCAUCUUUUCCUGGGUUUGGUCUCAUCUUAGCACUGGACAAAAUGAUCAAAAAAACAGCUGCCUACCCACAAAACUAAGUUGCCUUUAACCUAUGAAGAAUCUGGAUGUCUGGACUGAAAGCAGUUCCAGGAAGCAGCAGAGGUUGCAGCUACCCCGAAUGUGCCCAUUUGCACUUCUCUGGAAAUGAUCAAUAGACAGCGUGGGUUCAUCCUCACCUUCUUCCCGCCCCACGCCCACUUGUGAGGUAAAGUACUGACCCAAGAGACUCUGAGUUACCACUUCAUCAAGCAAGAAAUUAGCAUGUAGAUCAGACUGUAUCACCGGACACAUCACAAAAGCUGGUAAUUCUGGAGAAACUUUUAAAUGCUGUUUUUUAUUGGGUCUCUUGGGGGAAUAUUUCAUAAAAUCAUUAAGGAAC
ensembl:lncRNA